rnacentral:rRNA from 1 species
GAUGAACGCUGGCGGCGUGCCUAAUACAUGCAAGUCGAGCGAACAGACGAGGAGCUUGCUCCUCUGACGUUAGCGGCGGACGGGUGAGUAACACGUGGAUAACCUACCUAUAAGACUGGGAUAACUUCGGGAAACCGGAGCUAAUACCGGAUAAUAUACUGAACCGCAUGGUUCAAUAGUGAAAGACGGUUUUGCUGUCACUUCUAGAUGGAUCCGCGCCGCAUUAGCUAGUUGGUAAGGUAACGGCUUACCAAGGCAACGAUGCGUAGCCGACCUGAGAGGGGGAUCGGCCACACUGGAACUGAGACACGGUCCAGACUCCUACGGGAGGCAGCAGUAGGGAAUCUUCCGCAAUGGGCGAAAGCCUGACGGAGCAACGCCGCGUGAGUGAUGAAGGUCUUCGGAUCGUAAAACUCUGUUAUUAGGGAAGAACAAAUGUGUAAGGAACUAUGCACGUCUUGACGGUACCUAAUCAGAAAGCCACGGCUAACUACGUG